rnacentral:rRNA from 1 species
GCAAGUCGAGCGGUAAGCUAACUUCGGUUAGCCUAGAGCGGCGGACGGGUGAGUAACGCGUGGGAAUAUGCCCUUCUCUAAGGAAUAGCCUCUGGAAACGGAGAGUAAUACCUUAUACGCCCUUUGGGGGAAAGAUUUAUCGGUGAAGGAUUAGCCCGCGUAAGAUUAGAUAGUUGGUGGGGUAAUGGCCUACCAAGUCUACGAUCUUUAGCUGGUUUUAGAGGAUGAUC